UACGGAGGGUGCAAGCAUUAAUCGGAAUUAUUGGGCGUAAAGGGCGCGUAGGCGGCGAGGUCAGUCAGGUGUGAAAUCCCGGAGCUUAACUCCGGAACAGCACUUGAAACUGCCUUGCUAGAGGAUAGGCGGAGAAAACGGAAUUCCACAAGUAGCGGUGAAAUGCGUAGAUAUGUGGAAGAACACCUGUGGCGAAAGCGGUUUUCUAGCUUAUACCUGACGCUGAGGCGCGAAAGCAAGGGGAGCAAACAGG
rnacentral:rRNA from 1 species